CCAACUGCCCCAGUAGUCAAUGCAACAGCUCCUCCAACAACCACAGCCAUCCCCACCACAACCACAGCUGCUCCCACAACACCCACAGCUGCUGCUACGCCAACUACAGCUGCUCCAUCAACAACCACAGCUACUCUGAUCAAAGUUACCACAACACCGGCACCUCCACCACCGGAGGUGAAGUUGGAGUUCAAAUUAGAGCAAAACUUCACGGCAGACUUGAAUAAUACAUCUUCAGCAGAGUUCCAUGCAUUAGCAACCAUUGUGGCUACAGCGUUGGACACAGUUUACCAAAACAAAUAUGGAUCCCGUUUCAAUCGCACAGAGGUCCUAGGUUUCAGUAAAGGUUCGGUUGUGGUAGACGCUAAGCUGAUAUUUAACAAUGCCAGCUCAGUCCCUGAGUCCAGUGCGGUGGUCACAACUUUGACAGAGAGUGUCUCAAGCAACAGCUCUAAUUUCUCUCUCCCAGUGAACACAGCUUCUAUCACGGCAACAAGAGCUGUGUCAACCCCAGCUCCAACUACUACUUCUACUCCGGUUCCUCCAAUGUCAACAACGUAUAUGGUCGUGCACGCAACGUCCACCCCUUUGAACAUGUCAACGCAGCACAUUACAGUGAAUGCAACUUCGGCCCCCUCAAACGUGUCAACUACAAACACGGUAGUUGACACGGUAGUCAACACAACAGCCCCUGCAACGAACACAGUAGUCAAUGCAACGGCACCUCCAACUACACCAGUAGUCAGCGCAAAAGUUCCUCCAACUACUCCAGUAGUCAAUGCAACAGCUCCUCCAACUGCCCCAGUAGUCAAUGCAACAGCUCCUCCAACUGCCCCAGUAGUCAAUGCAACAGCUCCUCCA